UGCAGGCUGGCCCCCAGGCUGGCGGGAUGCUGGUCAGGACUAGGCAGCGAGUCUCUCAGGGCUGGAGCCCAGAUGAUAUGGCGUUUACGACUGAGCUGGGGAGUUCCACGGUGGACCGUUCCAGCAGAGCAGUGUUUUCAGAGCUUUGUCUUGAGGUUCUCACAGCCUAAAGGAGUGGAGCUGAAGUAAAUCCUGAGGUGGAACACCGGUAAACCCUGGAAUGAUGCUGUAAAGCCAGCAUACUAUAAACUCUGGAGUGGAGCUACCGUAAACCUCAGCAUGGAACUGCUGGAAACCCCACGGACUGGAAACCCCACGGGUGGAUGCUGUAAACCCCGGAGUGAAGAGCAUCCCUCUAUCAAGAGCCAUUCCCUUCAACCAAGCACACAGAUUUGAGAGGGACAAACAUGGAGCCACAAGGGAGGAAAGAGACACCAGUUUAGCAAACCAGAAGAGUUGAACCCAUCU
rnacentral:lncRNA from 1 species